rnacentral:lncRNA from 1 species
UUUCACUCAUCAUCUUGGAUCAACUUUAGGCUUAGUGAAUUUAAUCUAAUGGUUUCAUGUAUUGACGUCUUCAAGCCAAACCUGUUUUAUGUACACAUUCCACAUGUAAUACUUCAUUCAAACUAAUGCAUGAAAAACACUAAAAAUACACAAUAUUAACAAUAAAAACAAAAAAAAGUCAUGUAACAAUCUUUAUCCGGC